GGGUUGUGAGGUUAAGCGACUAAGCGUACACGGUGGAUGCCCUGGCAGUCAGAGGCGAUGAAGGGCGUGCUAAUCUGCGAUAAGCGCCGGUAAGGUGAUAUGAACCGUUAUAACCGGCGAUACCCGAAUGGGGAAACCCAGUGUGACUCGUCACACUAUCAUUAACUGAAUCCAUAGGUUAAUGAGGCGAACCGGGGGAACUGAAACAUCUAAGUACCCCGAGGAAAAGAAAUCAACCGAGAUUCCCCCAGUAGCGGCGAGCGAACGGGGAGGAGCCCAGAGCCUGAAUCAGCAUGUGUGUUAGUGGAAGCGUCUGGAAAGGCGCGCGAUACAGGGUGACAGCCCCGUACACAAAAGCGCAUGUGCUGUGAGCUCGAUGAGUAGGGCGGGACACGUGGUAUCCUGUCUGAAUAUGGGGGACCAUCCUCCAAGGCUAAAUACUCCUGACUGACCGAUAGUGAACCAGUACCGUGAGGGAAAGGCGAAAAGAACCCCGGCGAGGGGAGUGAAAAAGAACCUGAAACCGUGUACGUACAAGCAGUGGGAGCCCCACCACCAAAGCAUUCUCUGGUGUUGAAGGCCCUGCAAAGCAGCAUCGCGGUGGCGGAGCGUCGUUUGCGACGCCCAACACACAAAACAAGCGGUGAGUGCUUUGGGGUGGGGUGACUGCGUACCUUUUGUAUAAUGGGUCAGCGACUUAUAUUCUGUAGCAAGGUUAACCGAAUAGGGGAGCCGGAGGGAAACCGAGUCUUAAUUGGGCGUUAAGUUGCAGGGUAUAGACCCGAAACCCGGUGAUCUAGCCAUGGGCAGGUUGAAGGUUGGGUAACACUAACUGGAGGACCGAACCGACUAAUGUUGAAAAAUUAGCGGAUGACCUGUGGCUGGGGGUGAAAGGCCAAUCAAACCGGGAGAUAGCUGGUUCUCCCCGAAAGCUAUUUAGGUAGCGCCUCGUGAAUUCAUCUCCGGGGGUAGAGCACUGUUUCGGCUAGGGGGCCAUCCCGGCUUACCAACCCGAUGCAAACUGCGAAUACCGGAGAAUGUUAUCACGGGAGACACACGGCGGGUGCUAACGUCCGUCGUGAAGAGGGAAACAACCCAGACCGCCAGCUAAGGUCCCAAAGUCAUGGUUAAGUGGGAAACGAUGUGGGAAGGCCCAGACAGCCAGGAUGUUGGCUUAGAAGCAGCCAUCAUUUAAAGAAAGCGUAAUAGCUCACUGGUCGAGUCGGCCUGCGCGGAAGAUGUAACGGGGCUAAACCAUGCACCGAAGCUGCGGCAGCGACGCUGAUGCGUUGUUGGGUAGGGGAGCGUUCUGUAAGCCUGUGAAGGUGUGUCGUGAGGCAUGCUGGAGGUAUCAGAAGUGCGAAUGCUGACAUAAGUAACGAUAAAGCGGGUGAAAAGCCCGCUCGCCGGAAGACCAAGGGUUCCUGUCCAACGUUAAUCGGGGCAGGGUGAGUCGACCCCUAAGGCGAGGCCGAAAGGCGUAGUCGAUGGGAAACAGGUUAAUAUUCCCGUACUUGGUGUUACUGCGAAGGGGGGACGGAGAAGGCUAUGUUGGCCGGGCGACGGUUGUCCCGGUUUAAGCGUGUAGGCUGGUUUUCCAGGCAAAUCCGGAAAAUCAAGGCUGAGGCGUGACGACGAGGCACUACGGUGCUGAAGCAACAAAUGCCCUGCUUCCAGGAAAAGCCUCUAAGCAUCAGGUAACAUCAAAUCGUACCCCAAACCGACACAGGUGGUCAGGUAGAGAAUACCAAGGCGCUUGAGAGAACUCGGGUGAAGGAACUAGGCAAAAUGGUGCCGUAACUUCGGGAGAAGGCACGCUGACACGUAGGUGAAGUGAUUUACUCACGGAGCUGAAGUCAGUCGAAGAUACCAGCUGGCUGCAACUGUUUAUUAAAAACACAGCACUGUGCAAACACGAAAGUGGACGUAUACGGUGUGACGCCUGCCCGGUGCCGGAAGGUUAAUUGAUGGGGUCAGCGCAAGCGAAGCUCCUGAUCGAAGCCCCGGUAAACGGCGGCCGUAACUAUAACGGUCCUAAGGUAGCGAAAUUCCUUGUCGGGUAAGUUCCGACCUGCACGAAUGGCGUAAUGAUGGCCAGGCUGUCUCCACCCGAGACUCAGUGAAAUUGAACUCGCUGUGAAGAUGCAGUGUACCCGCGGCAAGACGGAAAGACCCCGUGAACCUUUACUAUAGCUUGACACUGAACAUUGAGCCUUGAUGUGUAGGAUAGGUGGGAGGCUUUGAAGUGUGGACGCCAGUCUGCAUGGAGCCGACCUUGAAAUACCACCCUUUAAUGUUUGAUGUUCUAACGUGGACCCGUAAUCCGGGUUGCGGACAGUGUCUGGUGGGUAGUUUGACUGGGGCGGUCUCCUCCUAAAGAGUAACGGAGGAGCACGAAGGUUGGCUAAUCCUGGUCGGACAUCAGGAGGUUAGUGCAAUGGCAUAAGCCAGCUUGACUGCGAGCGUGACGGCGCGAGCAGGUGCGAAAGCAGGUCAUAGUGAUCCGGUGGUUCUGAAUGGAAGGGCCAUCGCUCAACGGAUAAAAGGUACUCCGGGGAUAACAGGCUGAUACCGCCCAAGAGUUCAUAUCGACGGCGGUGUUUGGCACCUCGAUGUCGGCUCAUCACAUCCUGGGGCUGAAGUAGGUCCCAAGGGUAUGGCUGUUCGCCAUUUAAAGUGGUACGCGAGCUGGGUUUAGAACGUCGUGAGACAGUUCGGUCCCUAUCUGCCGUGGGCGCUGGAGAACUGAGGGGGGCUGCUCCUAGUACGAGAGGACCGGAGUGGACGCAUCACUGGUGUUCGGGUUGUCAUGCCAAUGGCACUGCCCGGUAGCUAAAUGCGGAAGAGAUAAGUGCUGAAAGCAUCUAAGCACGAAACUUGCCCCGAGAUGAGUUCUCCCUGAGACUUAAAGUCUCCUGAAGGAACGUUGAAGACGACGACGUUGAUAGGCCGGGUGUGUAAGCGCAGCGAUGCGUUGAGCUAACCGGUACUAAUGAACCGUGAGGCUUAACCUUACAACGCCGAAG
rnacentral:rRNA from 1 species